rnacentral:lncRNA from 1 species
CAAGAAGAGAGACCAAGAGCAGGUGGAGGCGGAGGGCGAGAGCUCAGCGCCACCCCGUAAGGUGGCCGGGACUGACAGCCCCGACAUGCCCGAGGACACCUAGGUCCUGUGAAUCACCCAUCGUCUGUCAGCUGUGUCCGCUCCCACCCAGGUGUGUAAGCGCAGUCCGCCUCCUACAUCCAGUCCACGCCCUCCAAUCUCAUAGGACCCAUGUAUUUAUUUUCCUUGAGUUUAUUCAUGCUGUAACUCGUGUCAAGCAUUGGUUAAAGGGACAUCAAGCCCAGCCGCGAGGUGUCGGUAGAUGCUUUUUAAAGCACAGUGGUGUCCCCCACCUGCAGCAAGACCUC